rnacentral:rRNA from 1 species
AGAGUUUGAUCCUGGCUCAGGAUGAACGCUAGCUACAGGCUUAACACAUGCAAGUCGAGGGGCAUCAUUAUCGAAGCUUGCUUUGAUAGAUGGCGACCGGCGCACGGGUGAGUAACGCGUAUCCAACCUUCCCCUUAGUAGAGGAUAGCCCGGCGAAAGUCGGAUUAAUACUCUAUGUUGUAUUUUGAGGACAUCUGACGAAUACCAAAGAUUUAUCGCUAAGGGAUGGGGAUGCGUCUGAUUAGCUUGUCGGCGGGGUAACGGCCCACCGAGGCGACGAUCAGUAGGGGUUCUGAGAGGAAGGUCCCCCACAUUGGUACUGAGACACGGACCAAACUCCUACGGGAGGCAGCAGUGAGGAAUAUUGGUCAAUGGGCGUAGGCCUGAACCAGCCAAGUAGCGUGCAGGAAGACUGCCCUAUGGGUUGUAAACUGCUUUUAUGCGGGAAUAAAGUCAGGUACGUGUACCUGUUUGCAUGUACCGCAUGAAUAAGGACCGGCUAAUUCCGUGCCAGCAGCCGCGGUAAUACGGAAGGUCCGGGCGUUAUCCGGAUUUAUUGGGUUUAAAGGGAGCGCAGGCGGAGGAUUAAGCGUGACGUGAAAUGUCCCGGCUCAACCGUGGAACUGCGUCGCGAACUGGUUUUCUUGAGUGAGUGCGACGUCGGCGGAAUUCGUGGUGUAGCGGUGAAAUGCUUAGAUAUCACGAAGAACCCCGAUUGCGAAGGCAGCCGACGAGUCCUUAACUGACGCUAAAGCUCGAAAGUGCGGGUAUCGAACAGGAUUAGAUACCCUGGUAGUCCGCAUCGGUAAACUGAUGGAUGCCCCCUGUCCGCAAUACACUG